GACGAACGCUGGCGGCGCGCUUAACACAUGCAAGUCGAACGGAAAGGCCUGCUUUCCCUUGUGGAUUGCGGGUACUCGAGUGGCGAACGGGUGAGUAACACGUGAGUGAUCUGCCCCCAACUUGGGUAUAAGCCUGGGAAACUGGGUCUAAUUCCCGAUAGGACUGCAGGGUGGUGCCUGUGGUGGAAAACGAUUUUCUAGUGGUUGGGGAUGAGCUCGCGGCCUAUCAGCUUGUUGGUGGGGUAAUGGCCUACCAAGGCGGCGACGGGUAGCCGGCCUGAGAGGGUGGACGGCCACAUUGGGACUGAGAUACGGCCCAGACUCCUACGGGAGGCAGCAGUGGGGAAUAUGACACAAUGGGCGGAAGCCUGAUGCAGCGACGCCGCGUGGGGGAUGACGGCCUUCGGGUUGUAAACUCCUUUCGACCGCGAGGAAGCCACCUGGUUGGAAGGGUGGUGACGGUAGUGGUAGAAGAAGCACCGGCUAACUACGUG
rnacentral:rRNA from 1 species